UAUGAUAUUGCUCUCAAUAAUAAAUAGCUCUUUAUGGGUCACACAUGUGUCCAGGUAGGAAUGAAAAGAAAAUCAUGCGACACCUUGAAUGGUAGGAAGGUAAAAGGUUGGAUUUCCCAAUUGAUAAGCUUGGUUCGUAAACCUUUGAUUGUUCAUUGGAAUGGUAGGAAGGUAAAAUCAGCUCUUUUUCCAUGACCCAGAUGGAUACAUGAUUGAAAUUUGCAAUUGUGACAAUCUUCCCUUUCUUCCCCUUUCUUCUUCCUGCCCGAUUAAGAAGAAGCUUCCUCAGACUCCAAACAUGCGCCACAUUGCAUCUUUACCUGGCAGUGCAAGAAGUUGCGCAGGAGAAGUCGAGGAUAAAAUGUUGGAGAAUUUGUUCCAAGACUUGAUGGACCUUUCCUUUUAAUGACGAAUAUGAAUGGAUUGACUAGUACUACAAUAUGAGAGGAACAUUUCAAGUAUUUGCGUAUCAAGAAAAGUUAUGCUAUUAUACUAGUCAAAAGACGAUUUAGCCGUUAAUAACUCGAUUAAUUUAACAUGAACGUUAAUUAAUAGGAAUUAUUCUAACAACAAAUUAGAUAUGAAAUUAAUAUCAUUGAAUAAUUCUCGAAAAGUUAUGCGGAAUGGACCACUCGAACGUAUCAGUCGGAUAACGGAUGAAGAAGAAUUUAUCAGAUUAGUGAGAAGGACAAAUUAGUUUAUUUGCAAUGGAGCGACCUUACUGCCACAUCCAAGUGAUGGUGCCUUUAUCAAUUUUCCUUUGGCCUUAUCUAACCAAAUCGAGAAGACAAAACUUAUCUUUCUUUUCUUCUUCUUAUCUUGUUCCCGUUUUUUCUUUCUUUUUCUCUGCUCUUCUUCCGUUCUUCUUCUAUUUUGUUCGAUGUGGGGUUAUGAGUGAGAAUAACUGAGGGAAAUCAACUGGUAGUGCCGAUAGAUGAUGGUGAUGAAGGUGUGGUCGUUUAUUGUGUAGCAGAAUAACUGGGGUUUGGAUAGCAGAGAAUCGAAGUUAGGGUUUUUGGAUUUGAAUCUAGAUUUGCAUGGAGUUGAUAAUGAUGAUUUCUAGUUGUUAAUGGAUGAAGAUCGAAUGGUUUGAUGUUGUGUUUGUGAAUUGAAGUUGUUAUGAAGAUGAAUCGAAGAAUGAAAGAGUUAGGGUUUCAUAAAGGAAAUUCAGGGAAGGUUCAAAAGAUGAAAUUGAUGUUGUAGAGGAUGGUUUUAGAGAUGGGUUUGAUACGAAUUAGAAUAUACAGAUGAAAAUUAGUUUGAAUUUUAUAGUCAGGGAUUGGCUUUGUUUGAUGAGGGUUGUUUGGAAUCGACACUGAUGAAUUAAAGGAUCAGGGAUGAGAAGGUGACGCGUUGCUUAAUUGAAUUCAGUUGCUUGAGUAGAACUAAUCAGAGGUAAUAAUUUUACUUAGUUAAUUGAGUAAAGUUUUAUGUUCAAUUUAGAGUUUAUGUUGUUGUUGAUGGAAGGAUUGAAGAAUCAGAGUUAGGUAAAGAGGAUUUUGAUGUUGUUGUGAGUUUAAUGAUUGAAGUUGAAUGAGACUUGAGAUAUGAGCAUAGAACUGGUGGUGAUAGUGAGGUUUGCUGUGACGAUUAAUUGAAUUGAGCCAAAGGGAAUAAGGGUGGAUUCUAAUUGCUGAAGCAAGAUUAAUCAAGAUGCGGAUGAAGUUAUGAGUAUGAAAUGGUGGGGUUGAACUGAACUCAGUUGAAGUGGUGUGUGUUUUGGGUUAUAACUGAUAAUAAAUGGGUUGUUGUCAAUUGUUGGUGGUUGAAGUUGAUUGGAAGGAAGUAGAUGUAUGAGUUAGGUAUGAGUUGUGAAGGUGAAAUGGAAAUAGAACUGGAAAGGGGUUAUUGGUGUAUGUAGCUUGGAAUUGAACCGAAGUUGGUUGUGACAAACUGAAAGGUGGUGGUGAUUGAUCUUAAUUGAGAUGUAAUUGAAGUUCAGGGGUUGAAGUUGAGUUUUGUUGUUGUGUUUUGAAUGGCAGUGAAGUUGAAUUUGAUAUAUGAUGUUGAUGUUGCAGUUAAGAGUUGAGAUGGCAGUGGAACUGAAAUUGCAGGUGGAGAUGUCUUGGCUAGUUAGAUGAGAUGUCAAUGGUUAUGGUGAUGCUGAUAUGAAUGGUGAGUGUGGAAUACAAGAACUGUUGAUGGGCUCUGCUGAGUGUGGAGAUGGGGAUUAAGCAGAAUUGAAUUGUUGCGAGAAAGGGUGAUAAUGGGAGUGUAGGACUGUAGUUAGUGCUAGCAGUGAAAGCUUGAAACUUCUGCUAUUGCAGUUAGGCUUUGUUACUUUUGUAAUUCAAUUUUAAGUUAUAAUUUGAAUGAAUGAAUCGAUGCAAUGAUUACAUUGAAGUUCAACUUAAAUAAAGUUGUAGAGUUAGAGUUGCA